CCGUCGCGGGCGCAGGAAAUUUGAGAGGAGCUGUCCUUAGUACGAGAGGACCGGGAUGGACAUACCGCUGGUGUACCAGUUGUUCCGCCAGGAGCAUCGCUGGGUAGCUACGUGUGGACGGGAUAAGUGCUGAAAGCAUCUAAGCAUGAAGCCCCCCUCAAGAUGAGAUUUCCCAUCGCAGUUUACUGCGAGUAAGAUCCCUCAGAGAAGAUGAGGUAGAUAGGUCUCGGGUGGACGCGUGGCGACACGUGGAGCUGAGAGAUACUAAUCGAUCGAGGGCUUAACCA
rnacentral:rRNA from 1 species